rnacentral:lncRNA from 1 species
GUGGAUGCUCCAUGCCCCUAGGAUUUUGCUUCCUCCCCGGUGCUAAAUUAGCAAGCUCCUAGAGAAGCCAUGUGAUUCCCAGAGCCAGGCGCUUUACACCUAAAGUAGUUUGACUUUCUUCUGUAUACAUCCAGAUGGAUCCCAGGCAUCCGGGCACCACCCUGGUGUGUCCCUAGAAUUCCCACUGCUGGGCCUCUAUCUCCAUGACAACAAAAUAAAAACAGAGGUUGCUUGACUCAUUACCAAAGAGGCAAAGCAUGUGCGACCCUUUCUGUCUUAUUUUACCAAAAGAUGGUGCAAAUCUAUGACCUUCACAUUUUUUCCACCACACCCACCAGUAGCUGUUGGUGAUUGCAUGGUGUCUCGGUGCAUGGGGAAAGGCAAGGUCUUCUGAGCUCAUCUUAACUGGUGAGGCAUCUGGAUGUGUCUGAUCUUACUACACAUGGCCACAGACACCUCCUUCGCAUAUGUAAUCUGCCUUCCCCUGCGGCCUUCCGUGGUCACAGCAACAGGGACUGCUCACCCCCUCCAGCUGGGGCUUUUCUAACAAGCACAGUCAGAAAUGCGCAGGCCUGGGGUUGGGGAUGAACAGAAGUUGAUUAGUGGGCACAGAAAUACAGUUAGAUAGAAGGAAUAGUUCCAGCAUUCGAUAUUACAGUAGGGAGACUGCAUUUAACAAUAAUUGAUUGUAUAUUUGAAAACAGCUAGAAGAAUAAGAAUAUUCCCAACAC